CUUGACAAAGACUGACGCUCAGGUGCGACAGCGUGGGCAGCAAACAUGCAUUAGAUACCGUGGUAGUCCCACGCAGUCAACGACGUCGACUCGGAGGUUGCGCCAUUGAGGCGCGGCUUCCGGAGCUAACGCGUUAAGUCGACCGCCUGGGGGAGUACGGCCGCAAGGUUAAAACUCAAAUGAAUUGACGGGGGCCCGCACAAGCGGUGGAGCAUGUGGUUUAAUUCGAUGCAACGCGAAGAACCUUACCUACUCUUGACAUCCAGAGAACUUUCCAGAGAUGGAUUGGUGCCUUCGGGAACUCUGAGACAGGUGCUGCAUGGCUGUCGUCAGCUCGUGUUGUGAAAUGUUGGGUUAAGUCCCGCAACGAGCGCAACCCUUAUCCUUUGUUGCCAGCGGUCCGGCCGGGAACUCAAAGGAGACUGCCAGUGAUAAACUGGAGGAAGGUGGGGAUGACGUCAAGUCAUCAUGGCCCUUACGAGUAGGGCUACACACGUGCUACAAUGGCGCAUACAAAGAGAAGCGACCUCGCGAGAGCAAGCGGACCUCAUAAAGUGCGUCGUAGUCCGGAUUGGAGUCUGCAACUCGACUCCAUGAAGUCGGAAUCGCUAGUAAUCGUAGAUCAGAAUGCUACGGUGAAUACGUUCCCGGGCCUUGUACACACCGCCCGUCACACCAUGGGAGUGGGUUGCAAAAGAAGUAGGUAGCUUAACCUUCGGGAGGGCGCUACC
rnacentral:rRNA from 1 species